UUGAGCUCGGAUCAGGUAGGGAUACCCGCUGAACUUAAGCAUAUCAAUAAGCGGAGGAAAAGAAACCAACAGGGAUUGCCUCAGUAACGGCGAGUGAAGCGGCAACAGCUCAAAUUUUAAAGCUGGUGCCUAUGGCGCCCGCGUUGUAAUUUGGAGAGGCACCUUCGGUUAGGGCGCCAGCCUAUGUUCCUUGGAACAGGACGUCACAGAGGGUGAGAAUCCCGUGCUUGGCUGGCUGUCCCUUUCCAUGUGAAGCGCCUUCGAC
rnacentral:rRNA from 1 species